rnacentral:lncRNA from 1 species
AUUUAGAUACAAGUUAUGAGAUUACUUUAGAUUAUUUUUAUAAUGGCGGACGUGGGUAAUCUAGAUAUAUGUAUAGGGGUUGACUUUAAAAUAUUUUCAUAAUGAUAAUGUUAGGUAAUGUUUUUGAAAAUGUAAUAAACCCAUGGCUCCAAUUGAACUCUACAGUAUUGAUGCCCGGAUGUUUAUGAACUUUUUUUCUAAAAUUUUUCUUUUUUUACCUAGCGCGUCUAGUGAGAAUUGAUACCAAGUCUCCAAUUGAAAAAAUAAGAGCACAUAUCGAACAAUCAAAAUAGUUUCCUUGAACUCUCUCUUAAAAAUAAGAGCACAUAUCGAACAAUCAAAAUAGUUUCCUUAAACUCUCUCUUAUUUGUUAAAUAUUCUAACACAAUACUCACGUGAAUAUAUAGUACUUCAUCCCAUCGUGGUAGACUUUAGUUAUUAAUUACUCUAUAACAUUUUCAUCCACAUUUACAGUCUUUCUUUUUUUUCACUUUGCAUAGCAGGUAUGCGCUUAAAUUUGUUUAAUAGAUAUUAGCUUGAGCUAUAUUUUUAAAUGGUGAACACAUCAUGAGUAUAUAUUAAUUAUUAUUUUCUAUACCAACAGUGUAAGAAAUAAAUAAUUUAGAAUUAUAUAUUG